UACGGGGGGGGCAAGCGUUGUUCGGAAUUACUGGGCGUAAAGGGCUCGUAGGUGGCCAACUAAGUCAGACGUGAAAUCCCUCGGCUUAACCGGGGAACUGCGUCUGAUACUGGAUGGCUUGAGUUCGGGAGAGGGAUGCGGAAUUCCAGGUGUAGCGGUGAAAUGCGUAGAUAUCUGGAGGAACACCGGUGGCGAAGGCGGCAUCCUGGACCAACACUGACGCUGAUGAGCGAAAGCCAGGGGAGCAAACGGG
rnacentral:rRNA from 1 species